rnacentral:rRNA from 1 species
AAAACGACUCUCGGCAACGGAUAUCUCGGCUCUCGCAUCGAUGAAGAACGUAGCGAAAUGCGAUACUUGGUGUGAAUUGCAGAAUCCCGUGAACCAUCGAGUCUUUGAACGCAAGUUGCGCCCGAAGCCUCUAGGCCGAGGGCACGUCUGCCUGGGUGUCACAA